rnacentral:rRNA from 1 species
ACGUAGGGCGCAAGCGUUGUCCGGAAUUAUUGGGCGUAAAGAGCUCGUAGGCGGUCUGUUACGUCUGCUGUGAAAACCCGGGGCUUAACCCUGGGCUUGCAGUGGAUACGGGCAGACUAGAGGCAGGUAGGGGAGAAUGGAAUUCCCGGUGUAGCGGUGAAAUGCGCAGAUAUCGGGAGGAACACCGGUGGCGAAGGCGGUUCUCUGGGCCUGUACUGACGCUCAUGCACGAAAGCGUGGGGAGCAAACAGG